rnacentral:lncRNA from 1 species
GGGUACACGUGGAACCCACUCAGACCUUGGCUGGUUAUUUUAGAUGCCUAAACAGAAUGUCUCCAGCUACAGCCUCAUCAGGAUGGGAUGGAGGAAUUAUGGAAGACCUCUGCUUUUCCGGAGUGACAGAUGGACAGCAAAGGCAUUCCCUGUUGCCUAAGAAAAUAAGAAAGAUUGUUUCUUAAGAGAAAAGGUAAGAAUUUUACAUUUCCAAUCGCUUCCAAAUUUUCCACGUGGAAUGUCAUUUUAAUAACAACUAAUCCUUCACGGUCUGUAUCUGCAACAAUGCUAAUGUCUCUCUUUUUUUGAUGCCAGACAAAACCCAGUUGCUAAAAUCCAGUUACAUCCAGGUGUGGUUUUCAAAAUAGAAAGAGAGAAACUCUGAAAUUAUUAUUAUUAUUAUUAUUAUUAUUAUUAUUUUUCCAUUCUUAUUUUGUGCUGUUCUUGCAGUUUAGAGGGCAUCUCACCUCCAGGUGAAAGCUGAGGGUCAGCCCCUCUGCAACGAUUGAAGGGUUUGCCUUUGACUUGGUAGAAGAUUGGGUUCCUCAAGUCUUUAUGAGAGCAUUUUAACAGCCAGCCCACGUGACGGCAAAUCAGGGGGUGGCAUUAAGGAAGGGAAAAAAAAGUUAAUUCAACAAGUGAGGUGUUUGUUUA